UAUUAUUUUUGAUUUAAAAUUGUUGUUGAUUAUUAUUAGUUAUUGUCUUGAAAUUUAAUGAAUUUGGCGGUAUAUUAGUCUUUUUAGGGGAAUUUGUUAAUUUAAUCGAUAAUCCUCGUUGAAUCUUACUUUAUUUGAUGUUUAUAUAUCGUCGUUUUUAAUAUUUUUUUUGUUUAGUUUUUUUUCUUUUGGGAGUUAAUUUCAGAUCAAGGUUUAAUUUAUGUUAAAGAUUUAAUGAAUUACAAUAUUAUUUUUAUAUAACGGAUUAUUAAUUUUAAUUUUAUUAUGAAGGUGGAUUUAAUUGUAAUUUUAUAUAUAUUGUUAAUUUGGAUUAUGGCUCUAUUAUAUGUACAUAUUGCCCGUCACUCUCGUUUU
rnacentral:rRNA from 1 species